CCUACGGGAGGCAGCAGUGGGGAAUAUUGCGCAAUGGGGGAAACCCUGACACAGCGACGCCGCGUGAGCGAAGAAGGCCUUCGGGUUGUAAAGCUCUGUCUUCCCUGACGAAUAAAUGACGGUAAGGGAAGAGGAAGCCACGGCUAACUACGUGCCAGCAGCCGCGGUAAUACGUAGGUGGCGAGCGUUGUCCGGAAUUAUUGGGCGUAAAGGGUGCGUAGGCGGCUCUUUAAGUGAGGUGUGAAAACCCUGGGCUCAACUCAGGGAGGGCACUUCAAACUGGGGAGCUAGAGUGCAGGAGAGGAAAGCGAAAUUCCCAGUGUAGCGGUAAAAUGCGUAGAGAUUGGGAGGAACACCAGUGGCGAAGGCGGCUUUCUGGACUGUAACUGACGCUGAGGCACGAAAGCGUGGGGAGCAAACAGGAUUAGAUCCCCUUGUAGU
rnacentral:rRNA from 1 species